GUCUUCAAACUGAAUGCAGUGGAUGGUCCAUCUCCGAAACGGAAAACCAAAGCAGCAGUUUUACCAGUCUCUACAACAAAUAAAGUGGAUGUUCCUCCGUCUCCAAAACGCAAGGCAGGAACCACAGUUUUACCAGCCUCCAAAGUGAAUGCAGUGGACGGUCCACCUCCGAAACGCAAGGGCGAAGCAACCUUUUUACCAGUCUCUACAACAAAUAAAGUGGAUGUUCCUCCGUCUCCAAAACGCAAGGCAGGAACCACAGUUUUACCAGCCUCCAAAGUGAAUACAGUGGAUGGUCCAUCUCCGAAACGCAAGGGCGAAGCAACCUUUUUACCAG